AGUCCUGUAGCUCAGUGGUUAGAGCGCUCGCCUUCCGAGCGAGCGGAUCUGGGUUCGAUUCCCGGCAGGGCAA